ACCCGCUGAACUUAAGCAUAUCAAUAAGCGGAGGAAAAGAAACCAACAGGGAUUGCCCUAGUAACGGCGAGUGAAGCGGCAACAGCUCAAAUUUGAAAUCUGGCGUCUUUGGCGUCCGAGUUGUAAUUUGCAGAGGGCGCUUUGGCAUUGGCAGCGGUCCAAGUUCCUUGGAACAGGACGUCACAGAGGGUGAGAAUCCCGUACGUGGUCGCUAGCCUUUACCGUGUAAAGCCCCUUCGACGAGUCGAGUUGUUUGGGAAUGCAGCUCUAAAUGGGAGGUAAAUUUCUUCUAAAGCUAAAUACUGGCCAGAGACCGAUAGCGCACAAGUAGAGUGAUCGAAAGAUGAAAAGCACUUUGGAAAGAGAGUCAAAAAGCACGUGAAAUUGUUGAAAGGGAAGCGCUUGCAGCCAGACUCGCUCGCGGUUGCUCAACCGGGCACCAGCCCGGUGCACUCUUCCGCGGGCGGGCCAGCAUCAGUUCGGGCGGGUGGAUAAAUACCUGCUAAAUGUACCUCUCCUCGGGGAGGACUUAUAGGGUAGGUGGCAUACACCCAGCCCGGACUGAGGUCCGCGCAUCUGCUAGGAUGCUGGCGUAAUGGCUGU
rnacentral:rRNA from 1 species